rnacentral:rRNA from 1 species
CUGGUGGCGAGUGGCGAACGGGGUGAGUAAUACAUCGGAAACGUGUCCUGGAGUGGGGGAUAGCCCGGCGAAAGCCGGAUUAAUACCGCAUACGCUCUGCGGAGGAAAGCGGGGGAUCUUUCGGGACCUCGCGCUCAAGGGGCGGCCGAUGGCAGAUUAGGUAGUUGGUGGGGUAAAGGCCUACCAAGCCGACGAUCUGUAGCUGGUCUGAGAGGACGACCAGCCACACUGGGACUGAGACACGGCCCAGACUCCUACGGGAGGCAGCAGUGGGGAAUUUUGGACAAUGGGCGCAAGCCUGAUCCAGCAAUGCCGCGUGUGUGAAGAAGGCCUUCGGGUUGUAAAGCACUUUUGUCCGGAAAGAAAUCUCCUGUCCUAAUACGGCGGGGGGAUGACGGACCG